AUUGAACGCUGGCGGCAUGCCUUACACAUGCAAGUCGAACGGCAGCACGGGAGCAAUCCUGGUGGCGAGUGGCGAACGGGUGAGUAAUAUAUCGGAACGUGCCCAGUCGUGGGGAUAACGUAGCGAAAGCUACGCUAAUACCGCAUACGAUCUAUGGAUGAAAGCGGGGGAUCGCAAGACCUCGCGCGAUUGGAGCGGCCGAUAUCAGAUUAGGUAGUUGGUGAGGUAAAGGCUCACCAAGCCGACGAUCUGUAGCUGGUCUGAGAGGACGACCAGCCACACUGGGACUGAGACACGGCCCAGACUCCUACGGGAGGCAGCAGUGGGGAAUUUUGGACAAUGGCGCAAGCCUGAUCCAGCAAUGCCGCGUGCGGGAUGAAGGCCUCGG
rnacentral:rRNA from 1 species